GCCGCUUGAAAUCCGCGUGUACCAGGACUGGUGCCGAGGGCGUCUGUGAGCGGACCGGCCAUCUCAGCAUAGUUUUUCAUAAAGCGCCGGUACCAGCCCGCAGUUCCCAGGAAACUACGCAAUUCUCGAUAAGAUCGCGGCUCGGGAAUGCGCAAAAUGGCCGACACACGAUCCGGAUCCAUCUUCAGCGCUCCUCCUCCCAUUAUAAAUCCCAGACGCUCGGCAACCUGUCGCAGAAUCUUCACGUGCGUUUGGAAGUCAUCAGCUAUAAUCAGCAAGUCGUCGAAAUACGCAUAGACGUUUGAACGCAUCUCAACCGGAAUCACCUUAUCGACCAGUCUACAUAGGCGUUGUGCGGCGUUGCAGAGGCCAAAGGGCAUCAUACGGAACUGGUACAGAGGCCGUCCCUGCACCGUGAACGCCGUAUAUGGUCGACUCUGCUCGUCCAGCUCGAUUUGCCAAAAAGCUAAUUUUAAUUCGACGCUGGAGAUAUAUAUAGUCUGAUCGAGACGCGACAAAAUCCCCUCGAUGCUAGGAAGUGGGUAAGCGUCCUUGAUGGUUACUUUGUUGAGCUUUCGGGCAUCGAGGCAGAAACGAUUUUUGCCCGGCCUUCGCACCACGGUUGCUCCACGGACUAUCACUGUACUCGAUGACUCCCAAAGCCAACAUUUUGUCCACCUCACCACACACCACUUCCUGCAUCGCUGGCGACAGCGGGUAAUGUCGAUCCUUCACAGGCUCGUCCUUCGCCACCAACUGAAUUUUGCCCCUUCUGUGAGCGUGAUUCGCCUGCUUGGAUCGCACCCCUCUUCACGUUUCCCGCUCAAUUCGGACAGGUUGGACAAUAUGCAUCGGGCUUUCCACACCGGUAGCAGAAAUUCGCCUCUCCGAUGCCAUACAGUCCCU